GAUGAACGCUGGCGGCGUGCCUAAUACAUGCAAGUCGAGCGAACAGACGAGGAGCUUGCUCCUCUGACGUUAGCGGCGGACGGGUGAGUAACACGUGGAUAACCUACCUAUAAGACUGGGACAACUUCGGGAAACCGGAGCUAAUACCGGAUAAUAUAUUGAACCGCAUGGUUCAAUAGUGAAAGACGGUUUUGCUGUCACUUAUAGAUGGAUCCGCGCCUCAUUAGCUAGUUGGUAAGGUAACGGCUUACCAAGGCAACGAUGCGUAGCCGACCUGAGAGGGUGAUCGGCCACACUGGAACUGAGACACGGUCCAGACUCCUACGGGAGGCAGCAGUAGGGAAUCUUCCGCAAUGGGCGAAAGCCUGACGGAGCAACGCCGCGUGAGUGAUGAAGGUCUUCGGAUCGUAAAACUCUGUUAUUAGGGAAGAACAAAUGUGUAAGUAACUAUGCACGUCUUGACGGUACCUAAUCAGAAAGCCACGGCUAACUACGUG
rnacentral:rRNA from 1 species